AUUGAACGCUGGCGGCAGGCCUAACACAUGCAAGUCGAACGAGUGGCGGACGGGUGAGUAAUGUCUGGGAAACUGCCUGAUGGAGGGGGAUAACUACUGGAAACGGUAGCUAAUACCGCCUACCAUCGGAUGUGCCCAGAUGGGAUUAGCUGGUAGGUGGUGUAACGGCUCACCAAGGCGCCGAUCCCUAGCUGGUCUGAGAGGAUGACUGGCCACACUGGAACUGAGACACGGUCCCGACUCCUACGGGAGGCAGCAGUGGGGAAUAUUGCACAAUGGGAGCAAGCCUGAUGCAGCCAUGCCGCGUGUAUGAAGAAGGCCUUCGGGUUGUAAAGUACUUUCAGCGGUGAGGCGUUACCCGCAGAAGAAGCACCGGCUAACGCCGUGCCAGCAGCCGCGGUAAUUC
rnacentral:rRNA from 1 species